UGGCGUUGCUUGCAAUGACCAGUUUUGCUCCAUUUGUACCUUCUUGCCUUUUUUUGGCCUCUAGUUAGACUCAAAGUGCUCUGGUGCUUGGAUCACCUUUUUGUUACUGAUACUCAGGAUAUCUCCAGCAGUGAAGUCCUGGCCCCAGAUGAGGUUCUCCGUGGCCGACUUGUGGCUGUGAAGCCGUCACUGCUGUUUGUUCUGCUGGGACCAAACCUGCAAAUCUUUCGGAGAAGACGGACGCUCUAACAGGCUCUGCGGCUGAAUGUUAGGCAGGAAACCAAAGGAUGAAAACAGGGUGCAAGAGAAAAGCUGAAGGCAAACCCCAGGUACUAAAGCAACAUAGCUGUGGAAAGCAAACUAACUAACCAAUGGAAGCGUGGAGUACUCAGCGUCAAGAUUCAAUUCUCACAACCUUUCAUCUUAUCAGUGGCUACAAACAUGAGCAAUUUGGCUUACUCCUGCAGAAAUUCUAAAUGCUUCAUUAUGAAGACUGAAAAAAAGUAGCAUUAAAUACCUCACCCUUCCUUGGGUCAUAAGUUGUUUGUCCUCCUUCCUCUUUCAGUGUCUGCCAAUGAAGUCAUGGUACAGAAACAGCGAUAUCACAGCAGUGCAACAGUAACAGAAUUUGGCUCACAAGUUCCGCUCUGUUGCCCGUGCAAGCCGUGUUGGACCUCACAACGCGAACACCAACGAUGAAGGCUGCUGACUUUAGCAGUCCAGCAUGAAGAUGAAUUUCAAUGACGUAUCUGAGACUUGUUUUCUUCAACUUCAUGAUCAUGGCAUAUAUCAUAUGAACGUGUGGAGUUGCCUCCUCUUGUUCUUAGGUCAUUUCUAUUAAUGGUACAAGUGCCGAUGGAAUUCAUUAACAACAGCUGAUUUGAAGCAGGACGUCCCAGUCUCUCACCAGCCCAUUUAUGCUUAGAUCUACCCUUUCCAAAAGACCUCUGUGUUCGAUAACUUCAAACCUGGAGAGGCUGUAAACACUCAGGGAGGCUGGGCUUUGAAGUGAACAUGGCCCUGAGGAUUUUCAGCUUUUCUAAGGUUGCCCUUUCAGACCACACAGAGCUGUGACCAGAGAGGGUUCAGCAUUUAUUGUUUUCCAUUGAUUCGAGGGAGCUCAAACUGUCAAAGAACUGGGGGCAAAGUGAAUUUUCUCCUGGACCUGGACUCAGCUUCAAAGAGGGAAAAGGAGAUUCGGACAUGGGUUUCAGCUCACAGAGACCCAGCUCGUGCUCAGAGAGGCUGUUGCAGAACAGAAGUAGAAGGGGCAGGGGCCAAGGUUCAGCACCAGGGUAUGGCAGGGGUCUUCCAGAAGAGCAUCCAGCCUUGGCAGCUGAACCUCCUGCCCGGUGCCCGUUGAGCGGUCACAGCCCACCUGGAGCCACCUGAACCCUGCUACAGGUCUGCUCUCACCUUAACCUCCCUCACUCCUGUUCUUUAGUUACCUUCAGCAAAGUUUGAGAGUGAAACUGGGAAAUACCCAUGUGGGAACUUCUAAGAUCUAACCUAUGAAACCACUUGAUUUACCAAGUAUAGUAAAAAUAGUCUGUCUAUAAACUCGAGUCAAGAUCAAAGCUUCUUUGUGCUUGCCACUUACUAUUCAAAGCACAACGGGUCAGAUUCAACCUAGAAGCAACCCUAAAAGCUGGCCUGGCGUAGUACUUUUUUGCAUGUUGAGCUGGGAUUUGUAAAAUGCAGUCGUGCCAACACUAGCAGGUCAGAAAGCAGUAAACUGAGUGCCUCCCGGGUUGGACCUACUGAACAUACAUGACAGACCUGAUGGGCAGUCACCUUCCAGACCGGACUCCUGGGCUACCAGAGACAGACCUGCCACUUGAGGAAGUGGCAAAUGAUUUUCAAAGUUAAUUCAAGUUGUUUAAAGAGCUACGCGGAAACUGCAAGGAGACUUUCCUUCCCCGUAACAAGAACCCAUCACAAGAGGGACUUGUGCGUCUGCACGGCCUUCCUCCCCUUGCCUCCCCAGCUAGGCGAAGCGGCUUUCUACAGGAGGAGGGUUGGUGACAUCCCCUCCAGCGGUGACAAGCCAACCGCUCAAGCACAAACGACGAUGCUCUCCGCCCCUGGGAAUGGCUGAAUUCCAGAAAGGAGCUUUGAGUUCAUAGCACCCAUCUGAUCUGUGCAUAGCUAUAUGCACGCAGGGCUACAGGUUGUGACACAGUUUUCAUUUAGUUAGUUAUAUUACAAGCCAUACAGUUAAUUAAAGAAAUAUAUUAAAAAAAAAAACAAAUGAAUUCCAAUGAAUUAUUCCUCUCAUCCAUAAAAAGAUCAUGCUCUUCAUUAAUACAAUCAGACUUUAGUUCCUGCUCAACUGUAAGAGGGUGUGUGCUAUUCAUUUUAGAUUUUAUUUUAUCUGUUCAUGUUUCAUAAUCUGUAAUUCAUACUUCAUUAAGGAACCACUGGCUUAUUCAAAAGGAGGCUGGUGAGAUAGACCGGACUUUAAUGUUUGAAUUGAGAAACUAGUUUGUUUUGUGAUUUAAUCUAAAAUAAGACUGAAAAAAAGGUAUCAAGCAUAACUGUCAAGGCAUCACAGAGCGUCUAGAUUUGCCUGCUAUCAGGGACAAAAGAUGAUCAGUGAACUUUUCUACAAUGCAUCUAAAUUAAACUGUAAUUAAACUACUGGUUUUAGAAUGAGGGAAAAUCUAGAAUGAUCUAAUGGUUAAGAGGCUGUCAUACGUGUUGGAAAUAUGUUGGCAAUAUGUAAGUGCAGGCUUCCCUGAAGUCACAUCACUAUUAAUUGAGAAUGUAACUCUGGGCACUGAGUUGUCCCAUUGCUUCCUUAUUUCUGAUUAGCAGCUCCAACAGCUCUCUAUACUCCCAAUGCCAAAUGACAUUUUAAAAAGUUGAGGAGGAAAUAAGAUGCUAUGCCAUAAUUCCAUUAAACAGUUUUAACAAGCCCA